GACGAAGGGGGCUAGCGUUGUUCGGAAUUACUGGGCGUAAAGCGCGUGUAGGCGGCCAUCUAAGUCGGGCGUGAAAUCCCACGGCUCAACCGUGGAAGUGCACUCGAAACUGGAUGGCUAGAGUCCUGGAGAGGAAGGUGGAAUGCUUGGUGUAGAGGUGAAAUUCGUAGAUAUUAGGAAGAACACCAGUGGCGAAGGCGGCUCACUGGCCCGGUACUGACGCUGAGGCGCGAAAGCGUGGGGAGCAAACAGG
rnacentral:rRNA from 1 species